rnacentral:rRNA from 1 species
GGAGUUAGCCGGUGCUUCUUCUGUGAGUGAUGUCCUUCCUGCCGGCUAUUAACCCGCAGGCCUUCUUCCUCACUGAAAGUGCUUUACAACCCGAAGGCCUUCUUCACACACGCGGCAUGGCUGGAUCAGGGUUGCCCCCAUUGUCCAAUAUUCCCCACUGCUGCCUCCCGUAGGAGUCUGGGCCGUGUCUCAGUCCCAGUGUGGCUGAUCAUCCUCUCAGACCAGCUACGGAUCGUCGCCUUGGUGAGCCGUUACCUCACCAACCAGCUAAUCCGACAUAGGCUCAUCCGAUAGCGCGAGGCCCGAAGGUCCCCCGCUUUCCCCCGUAGGGCGUAUGCGGUAUUAGCCUGGGUUUCCCCCAGGUUAUCCCCCACUACCGGGCAGAUUCCUAUGCAUUACUCACCCGUCCGCCGCUCGCCACCAGGGAGCAAGCUCCCCGUGCUGCCGCUCGACUUGCAUGUGUAGCUGCCGCCAGCGUCAUCUGAGCAGAUACAACUACUGA